rnacentral:tRNA from 1 species
GGGGAUUUAGCUCAGUGGUAGAGCACUUGCCUAGCAAGCACAAGGCCCUGGGUUCAAUCCUCAGCUCCG